UCCUGUGUGGCUCAAUCGGUAGAGCAUGGCGCUUACACCGUCAUGGGUUCGAAUCCCGCUGGGG
rnacentral:tRNA from 1 species